CUUUGCCAUUGUGGGUCCAUAAUAAGAGCUUUCCAUAGAAAUUCCUGUGGCUGGGAAAUAACUGAAAAAAAUAAAUGUUCAGAGAGAGAAAAAUCUUGUGCUUGAGGAUUCGCUUUCCUAUUCUCUGUCCUCUCACAUUACUAGAAGCGUGAAGCUUACAAAGAAUAAGCAAAAUCAAUUUCCAAAACUCAAUGGAAAAUACCCACUACUCAGCUCAUGUAAGAACUCGGGAACAACCAAAAUGACUCAUCUGUUAGAGACAGGAAGUUACCAUUCAGCCAUUUGGAAAGUUGGAUGUUUUUCAAAAGCAGGAAGAGCAGCUCUUUGGGCCUGGGUCAUUUCCUGGUCUCUGGACCAAGAGGAAGUUGGCACCAACAGAGCAGAAAUCCUGAAUCCCAUCAGACCAGCACAACUCUCUAACAGGUCUGUUGUGAAGCAGAAAUAUCACGGCAGAAGGGCAUGGUGGAGGAAAGCUGCUCACUUCAUGGCAGCCAGGAAGCAGAGAGAGGCUGUCUUGAAAACCAGGGGCCCAAGGUCAUGGUAAAACCCAGCAGCCCAGCA
ensembl:lncRNA